GGCCUAGCGAAUGAACCCAUGUCAUUUGUUUGUGUGCUCUCAGAUCAGCCGCUAUAAUCAUUUGAUGAGUGUUUUGUUAAUGAAGCGGCAGAAUGAUUACAUCAUUAAGAGUUGCAGUGGCUGUUUCAGAAGACGUUGAUUGAUAGUUAACUGUAUUGAAGUGAAGGUAUUGCAAUGUGGAAGUUAUUACGAUUUAUCUUCGUAAUAAAAUUCCACUUUAUAUAUGGAAAACUGGUUGGUGACAACAUUUGCCUCACGGAAGAAAGUUUCCUGGUGAACGUCACAGAAAACUAUCUCCGGAAUGUGACAGUUCGGAAUUACAAAUGGUGUUACAACGUACCGCCACGGUGCUCUUACUACACCGUCAAUAGAAUUAACGAUACUCGAAUAGUCGUAAG